GAAUAAUAGCACAAUCUGUAUUGACUGCUGCAUUUUUAGUAUGGCACACUCUGACACAUUAUGGCAUGGCAGGAGUAGGAGCUGAUGUGUCAUAUUUCAUUCUGUCACCAUUAACGUGGAGUGGCAUGUCAUGUUAUGUCCUGUCACUGAAGUCAUGUCAUUAAACACUGAAACAUAAGAAAACACACACAAUUAAAACAAUCCUGGGGCAAAAAAAAAUCCAUUAAAAAAAAAAUCAAACGCAAGAUUUUAUUACGUAAAUGUAAUUCAAUUUUGUUUACACAGGUAUUGCUGUUGAAGCUGGUGUGGUUUCCUGCAGAUCUUUGUCUCCACUUCAAUUAUUUCCAGCUCUCGCGGAUUCUGACAACACUGCUCAGACCCUUGCAGUGGGGAAGGAGCGCUGCGAGAUGUCGGAGAGGCAGAUAGCUGCCACGCUGCCAGCUGUCAGCUUCACUGCUGCUCCUGACACUGGAAAUGUGACAGCCGCGCUGGGAGCAUCCCGCUCCACACAUCACUGCUUGUGCUGCAUCCCCCGCAGACAAACACACACCAUCCCCGAGACCCGCAAAAUGCCACUGCCUGCAAGGGACAUGUCCAGCUGAAAGAUGACAAGCAGCGGGAGCUG
rnacentral:lncRNA from 1 species